rnacentral:misc_RNA from 1 species
AUUGAAUUGAGUUGAGUUCAGAUCAGGGGUUGAAGUCAUAGCUAAAGUAGAGCCCCUGCAGGCUUGACAAUUGUCAAUCUUAACAAGAAAGUAGCUCCAAUUGAAACAGACGGAAAUCGUUUCAAGUCAAUUAUUAAACCUCAAACUAUAAUAACUAAUUAGCGCAGUAACUUAAGAAUUCACCAAAUACCACCAAGUUGAAAAUUCAUUAAUGAAAUUUCCUGCUCGACUAAAAGUUUGUGAUUGCCAGAUAAUGACAAAUUUCCAUCCUCGAAAUGCAGGCAAUGUGGGAAAUCUUUCAAGCCAGAGAAAUUGCACAUACACAUGAAGUCCUGCAAAGGAAUGAAAUCUUCUGCAAAAACUGCAGCAGCUUCCGUCAGCAAGACUGCAUCACCAUCAAUGAAUUCCAUGAAUCAACUAAUGGCUGUUUCCUAACUACAUUUGCAACGGUUACAAAUAUCAAUAUUUGAUUGCAUACUCUUACAUUUUAGGAGAUGUGGAGCAUACUCUUAUAUUUGAUUUCUAAAGUAAUACCUUCUAGGAGAUUUAAACGUCCCCAAGAAACAGCACCAAGCACAAAUUGAGUGCAAGAACUUUUACAGAGAAUCUCUCUUUUUCAAGGAUGUAUAGAAUUCACUUCACCUGGAAACAACAACGCCUGCGCUUGUGCUCAAAUAGAAAGUGAACCUGAAGCAUCCAAAUGUCCACAGCUUUAGGACCUCCAGUGACACCAUGUGCCUAAUGUAGUUCAGCCCAUCCAUCGGUUACAUUCCAUAACUACAUAUCAUGAACGGGUAAAAGUUGAAUAUGCUUUCCUAAAAGGGAACCGCCACCAUCCUGAUUUCAUUAGCAAACCAAAUACAUUUAAAUAUACACCAUUAGAGCAACGAGAUUAUAAAGUUUAAGUCAAUGCCACCCUUCUGGUAGUAGGCUUUUCCUAGUUCAACAAUAGUUAAAAAGUUGGAGAUGUUAGAUAAGAUUCAUUUGAAUAACUUCUAGCAAUCCGAAGGCACUUGCAGUGUGUGUUUUAACCAGUUAACCAUAUACCCAAUGUCUAUGUGAAUUUGAAACCAAUCAGCUCCAAAGUAUGAUUUCAGUUAGUUCUCAUUUUAUAUGACUACUUAACCGCAGCAACAGCUGUAUCAACAUGCUCCAGUAGAAACCCAUAUAAUUUCUUCCUCAAGUCUUCUAUCCUCCCAUCAACCUUAACUCCCCAACCACCCCAAUCAUCUAGCCACUGAUUCACCCUUUUAAGCUGCCUUAGAAGAUAGGCAAUUUCAGAAUCUCCCCCCAUACAAAACUGAAAUCCAUUGUUCAAUGAAUUCUCCAUAUAAUUCAAGAACCAUUCAUGAGAAUGCAACAGCAGCUUUUCUGCUAAACUUGCUGUUUCCUUUAACCCACUUCCUUUAGGACAAUCAUUCUUUUUUGGGUCCAUUUUCUUCCAUGAAGAUGGCUCUUGCUCAGGGCUUGCAUCUGACAAGUUGCCAUGGUUUCUAGGUCUUCCUUUGAUUUGAGGUGAUUGAUUCUCAGAAUGCAAUUCCUCUGGGAUGCUUCCUAGGAUGACAUAAUGACAUUUAUCACUAUCCACCAUUUCACUCUUCUCUGGCUCCUUGAGCAAAAUGAAUUUCGAAAAGUUGGUCUCUAUGGCAGCAUGAACCCACAAUGCAGCAUUCUUAUUCAUUUUAGUUUUCCUUGCAUUAGGCAAUAAACAUUGUAGGCUAUCAUAAAAGCUUGACUUUGCUUCUAAAAGGCUAUCACUGAUUAAUGAAUUAAUCACCUUCGCUGCUUUCUGCAUAUUCUGAUGGAAGUCCAGAUACUUUUCCACUAGUGAUACUGAAGACAUAUUCUGAGAAGACUUGCACAGUUCUGCAAAUUCUCGAACACAAAGAAUGACAUUUUCAGCAGCUGAUGCCUCUUCCAGUGCACUUACAGCGGCCACAAAUGCAACGUUUCUGUGAUGCACGGUUUCCUUUCCAAGAUUUUGAAUGGCGGAAGGUACCGCAUCCCAUGAAAUCCUUUGCGCAGAGCAGUUUGUGGAACUAAGAGGCAACUUCACGAGACAGCUGGGAAUGGCGUGGUCAGUUGUAGACUUUAAUUCUUUCUUCAAAGGUCUUGUAGUGGCUUUAGGUGAAGAGACUUCAUUUUCGCUUUUCAACGGUGAAAUACUUACAGUUGGGCGCUUAAAUGAUAAAUCGUUCUUGGAAGAAGUUUUCUUAUAAGAUUGAAAAUUCUUGGACGAUUUCAAAGUCAUACUAGGUGUAGAAGAAGAUUUGGGCGUUGGAGUUUGAUUCCAGAUCCUCCUGGACGAGUCUAAACUCAAUCUCCUCAGCUCCAACCCUUCUGCCUUGGUCCCAUUCCCGAGUGAAUCCCUUCUCCUGGCCUUACAAUCCACUGUUAUCUUCUUCGGCAACCCAUCAGUCUUGGAUCCUUUCUUCUGUUUGCUAAAAUUCAUACUUGGUCUGAUAGGCAACAUAUCACUGGACACCAAAUCCUUGGGAUUUCCAACACAAGGUCGCCUCUUGGGCACGGGCUUCAACCCACGAAGCACUGGAACAGGCGAAGCCGAAUCCAGUCUAGAAACGUAGACAAACUGACCUAAUUGAAUCUUGUCGCUGUAUAUCAAAUCCACGUCCUCAUCUUGUACGGAGACAUAAGCGGAAUGCAGAGAGUCAGAAACCUUCAAGAAGAAACCUCUGCUCUGCCAAGGAUCGUCGGGUCCAGCGAGAAAAGGCAAGAUCUCAAGCACCUGGAGGAGAGCAGAGCGGUGUUCUCCAGUCACCCUCAAGUCCUUGUUGCCUGCAUUUUCGAGAAGCUUCGAUAGCAUCCCAGGCGUGAGGGACGC